rnacentral:rRNA from 1 species
AAUGAACGCUGGCGGCGUGCCUAACACAUGCAAGUCGAACGAGAAAAUCCUUCGGGAUUAGUACAGUGGCGAACGGGUGCCUAACACGUAGGAAUCUGCCUUUUAGUGGGGGAUACCUUCGAGAAAUCGAAGUUAAUACCGCAUAUUCCCUUCGGGGAAAAGACGGCCUCUUUGCUGUCGCUAAAAGAUGAGCCUGCGUACUAUUAGCUAGUUGGUGGGGUAAAAAGCCUACCAAGGCGAAGAUGGUUAGCCGGCCUGAGAGGGUGUACGGCCACACUGGGACUGAGAUACGGCCCAGACUCCUACGGGUGGCAG